rnacentral:rRNA from 1 species
GACGAACGCUGGCGGCGUGCUUAACACAUGCAAGUCGAGCGGUAAGGCCCUUCGGGGUACACGAGCGGCGAACGGGUGAGUAACACGUGGGUGACUUACCCUCAGCUCUGGGAUAAGCCUUGGAAACCGGGUCUAAUACCGGAUAGGACCUGCUCCCGCAUGGGAGCGGUUGGCAAGUUUUUUCGGCUGGGGAUGGGCCCGCGGCCUAUCAGCUUGUUGGUGGGGUGAUGGCCUACCAAGGGGACGACGGGUAGCCGGCCUGAGAGGGCGACCGGCCACACUGGGACUGAGACACGGCCCAGACUCCUACGGGAGGCAGCAGUGGGGAAUAUUGCGCAAUGGGCGGAAGCCUGACGCAGCGACGCCGCGUGGGGGAUGACGGCCUUCGGGUUGUAAACCUCUUUCGCCAGGGACGAAGCGUAAGUGACGGUACCUGGAUAAGAAGCACCGGCCAACUACGUGCCAGCCGCCGCCGUAAUAC